GACGAACGCUGGCGGCGUGCUUAACACAUGCAAGUCGAACGCUGAAGACCUGGCUUUUGUUGGGUUGGAUGAGUGGCGAACGGGUGAGUAACACGUGAGUAACCUGCCCCCUUCUUUGGGAUAACGCCCGGAAACGGGUGCUAAUACUGGAUAUUCACUGGCCUUCGCAUGGGGGUUGGUGGAAAGGUUUUUUCUGGUGGGGGAUGGGCUCGCGGCCUAUCAGCUUGUUGGUGGGGUGAUGGCCUACCAAGGCUUUGACGGGUAGCCGGCCUGAGAGGGUGACCGGUCACAUUGGGACUGAGAUACGGCCCAGACUCCUGCGGGAGGCAGCAGUGGGGAAUAUUGCACAAUGGGCGAAAGCCUGAUGCAGCGACGCCGCGUGAGGGAUGGAGGCCUUCGGGUUGUAAACCUCUUUCGCUCAUGGUCAAGCCGCAACAUUGGUUGUGGUGAGGGUAGUGGGUAAAGAAACGCCGACUAACUACGUGCCAAGGCCCGCGGUAAUACGUACGGCGCAACCGUUGUCCCGAAAUAUUGGGCGUAAAGAGCCUCCUAGGCAGCUGGUCCCCCUCUGUCACGAAAACUUCCGGCUCAACCAGGGGUUUGCUCUGGGUGCGGGGCCCGCUAAAAUGCGGGGGGGGGGGGAGUGGAACUCCUGGGUUCCCCUUUCAAUACCCCCAAAACACAAAGAACAUCACUGGUCGCUGCAAGGUUUUGGUGCGCAACCUACAUUGUAACCGGAGGGGGGGGGACAAGAGGAUAACAAACCUGGGGUCCCCGGGGGGAUAUCCCCUUGUUGGUGGGGGCUCCAGGGGGGCCCCCCACCCCCGGGGGGGGGGGCGGAAAAGUUGCCUUUCCCACCGAAAAAAAAAAAAAAACCAUGGGUUCUUCCAUCUUCUA
rnacentral:rRNA from 1 species